rnacentral:rRNA from 1 species
UACGUAGGCAGCAAGCGUUGUUCGGAAUUACUGGGCGUAAAGAGUGUGUAGGCGGUGCUCUAAGUUCGGUGUGAAAUCUCCUGGCUCAACUGGGAGGGUGCGCCGAAAACUGGAGUGCUGGAGCGCGGGAGAGGAAAGCGGAAUUCCUGGUGUAGCGGUGAAAUGCGUAGAUAUCAGGAGGAACACCGGCGGUGUAGACGGCUUUCUGGACCGUAGCUGACGCUGAGACACGAAAGCGUGGGUAGCAAACAGG